GUUAUUGCCGGACUGUGCUAAAUGAUAAUCUAAUUGGCUGCGCUAAAUACUGUAUUUGACCAUGCAAUGUCUGUCUGCUUGUGGGCAACUUGUAAUGUUCGUGUUGCAGUUAUAUGGGAUCUCGCCUGGAUGGGCUGUCUGGAUCGCCUAAGCCACUGAACAUAUAGUUGCAAAUAGGAGUUUCUCUGAUAGAUUUUGAUCUAU